GACGACGUAGCUCAGUGGAAGAGCACAGGCUCUGCCUUGAGGACGCUGGUUCAAAUCCAGCCGUCGCAUCU
rnacentral:tRNA from 1 species